rnacentral:rRNA from 1 species
UACGAGAGGCCCAAACGUUAUUCGGAAUUACUGGGCUUAAAGAGUUCGUAGGCGGCGCGGAAAGUAGGGUGUGAAAGCCCUCGGCUUAACCGAGGAAUUGCGCUCUAAACUACCGUGCUUGAGGAACCUAGAGGUGAGCAGAACUGAUGGUGGAGCGGUGAAAUGCGUUGAUAUCAUCAGGAAUACCGGAGGCGAAGGCGGCUCACUGGGGGUUUUCUGACGCUGAGGAACGAAAGCCAGGGUAGCGAACGGG